rnacentral:rRNA from 1 species
GACGAACGCUGGCGGCGUGCUAACACAUGCAAAUCGAACGGUAAGGCCCUUCGGGGUACACGAGUGGCGAACGGGUGAGUAACACGUGGGUGAUCUGCCCUGCACUUCGGGAUAAGCCUGGGAAACUGGGUCUAAUACCGGAUAGGACCACUGCCUGCAUGGGUGGUGGUGGAAAGCUUUUGCGGUGUGGGAUGGGCCCGCGGCCUAUCAGCUUGUUGGUGGGGUGAUGGCCUACCAAGGCGACGACGGGUAGCCGGCCUGGGAGGGUGACCGGCCACACUGGGACUGAGAUACGGCCCAGACUCCUACGGGAGGCAGCAGUGGGGAAUAUUGCACAAUGGGCGCAAGCCUGAUGCAGCGACGCCGCGUGAGGGAUGACGGCCUUCGGGUUGUAAACCUCUUUCAGCACCGACGAAGCGCAAGUGACGGUAGGUGCAGAAGAAGGACCGGUCAACUACGUGCCAGCCGCCGCGGUAA